GUUUAAUAUUUCCAUCUACACUCUCACGCUCCAUGUAUUUUGUCUCCUCCUCUCACUCUUCGACUCCCCCUCUAGGUUCCCAAGCCGUUGCAUGAGGGACCAAGGCCACCUCUCCAUCAGUGAUCUCAGCGGGCACGUUCCUUCUCAUGUUCACGCUUCUUUGCCUCAUCUUUGUCAUGGACCAUGACACAACUAAGUUCUCUCUUAGUUAUCCCAAAAUGCUUUCCAAUUUCUCCAAUGGUGCUUGAUCCUAAUCGCGCCGACACCAAUGCCAACACCAAUGCCAUUACCAAGAAGAAGUUCGAUGAGGAUUUGGCUUUGAAGCAACAACUGGAGUUGUAUGUGGAGAGGUUUUAGGAUCUUGACCAGGGAUUGCAGAAGGUUGCACUCGAGAGCAUAAGGCAAUAAAUUUGAACUUCCACGAGCUCUAUGACUUCGAUCAGUUCCUAAGCCAUUGAAGUUCCUUUGCCUGCAUUAUGGCACUCUUAAGACCUAUUAUGAAACUAUGGUGGAGUCUGAUUUGAAGAAUGUCUCGGACAUCAUUCCCUUGCAAUGGAAGAGAUCAUUUAGUUAAUAAUGGUUAUCUAGUUGUUUUUCAAGGCUCUUGAACUUCUUCUUGGGACAAAACAAUAUUCAACAACCAUUGACAUGUGGUCUCUGGGUUGUAUAAUGGUUGAGCUAUUGUCCAAGGAACCACUGCUUAAUGGGAAGACCGAAUUUGAACAACUUGACAAGAUUUUCAGAAUUCUUGGCACACCAAAUGAAACAAUUUGGCCUGGGUUCUCAAAAUUACCUCGAGUCAAGGUCAAUUUUGUAAAAAAUAAGUAUAAUCUCCUGCACAAAAAAUUUCCUGUAACAUCAUUCACUGGAUCACCAAUUCUUUUUUAUUCUGGAUUUGAUUUGUUGAACAAGCUUCUAACUUAUGACCCUGAAAAGG